rnacentral:lncRNA from 1 species
CUUGCAAAUCCAGGAAGGAUCUUGGGAGACGUCCUUCAUCACUUCUGAUAUAGAGCUGCUAUUGAGAAAUAGACAGCUUGCAAGUCUUCCUCAGUUCUACCAAGAAGUUUUCCAGAAGUUGAAUGAGCAGGGAAUGUAGCACCAGUAGACUUUUGGGCAGCGGGGCACCAUAUAACCUCUCUGUUGCUUAAUGUACACUCUGUCCUCACCUCCCUGUGGCAUCACACAUCACUGACCCCGUAGAAUGAUGGACGGCUUGGUAAAGGGAGGUGAAUUCCCCUAGCAUGGACAGCUCUCAUGUGCCUAAUACUUUCCCUGUCUCUCCCUCUUCCCCACUCCAUGCAGGUCAUGUAAUUCUGAUGGGGGAGAAUGGGAACUUAGGCUGUCACUCUCUUUCCAGCUUGCUUCCUGGGAGUAUGCUUUCUUAGAAAGGUCCCUCUCAUGAGGGCCAUCUUGGCUGAUCAGCCGCUUCCUUCUUGAUGUUUUGGGAUUGAAAAUGGAAGCGAAAGUGAAGCUGAGAAGAUGACUGUGAACAUCUGGUUUAUGGAGAACCUUCCUUCAAGGUGACUUCAUGGUACCCUGGUGCUGCUCUUGGAAGUACAUCAGGAAACUCUUCCUUGGAUGGUGAGUGAGAUGCAGGAAACCUUUUUCUGGCUGCCCAGGAAGAAGCUGACUUUGGCCCAAGACUGUGGUGCCAGGGAGAUGGAGCCUCAGCAGAGAGACCAGAAAGUGGAAGAGGAGCCUGGGAGGUGCUGGUCUCUUGGUAGACUGAAUCAGAGAGAACGGGCUGGAGGUCACUCGGGGUGAUUGACAGCCGAUGGAUUUGGAUUCAGUGCAGAGUUCCAAAGCUUUCAGCUGGACUAAAUGAAG